UUGUUUAUUUAUUAUUUUAUUACCAUUUUUAAUUCAUUGUUUCAGCAGUACCGUGUGCGUUUAGUAUUUCUAUUUUGUCAGCAGUUUCCUUGUGCAUUUAGUAGUCCACUUCAUCUCUCUCCCUUAGUCACUCUCUGUCCAGACACCAUCUCUGUCGCCGUCGUGUGUGCAUUCCGGGGAGAAAAUUCAUGACUAACUAUUUCACAAGGCGGUCUAAGCGGCGUCGGGCGAAUUCCUCCGGUGGUGCUCAAGAAGACAAUGGUAUAGUUGAACCUAUUCCAGGAAGACCAGGUGUUGCAGGAGCUUUAGGAAUUCCAGUAGCCAUCUGAAAAGAUGGGGCAGUAAUCUUACUUAAAGUUGGUGUGGUAGCAUUAGAUUUCAAAAACUUGGGCUAGAUUGCUAGGGAACAGACUGAAUCAUGUUACUCCUGUUCUGGUGUAGCAAAAUCGGCGUUUUUUUUUUUUUUUUUUUUUUUUUGAAUUGUAAUGUAUGGAUUGGAUGGGUUGACAGUGUGCAUAUCUACGUUACGUUGGCUUUCACUGAGUUGGCAGGCACUUGUAAAUGCUAAUGUUAGGAAAUUGAAGUAUGAGGCCCAUAUCUAAGUUUGCUAUAAUAUAAUAUUUCAAGUCGAUCAUGCUA